rnacentral:misc_RNA from 1 species
GAUGAAGAACGCAGUGAAAUGCGAUACUUGGUGUGAAUUGCAGAAUCCCGUGAACCAUCGAGUCUUUGAACGCAAGUUGCGCCCGAAGCCAUUAGGCCGAGGGCACGCCUGCCUGGGCGUCACACGUCGUUGCCCCCCCAUCUACUCCUUCGGGAUUGCGGGGGGCGGAUGAUGGCCUCCCGUGCGCCUCGUCGCGCGGUUGGCAUAAAUGCCAAGUCCUCGGCGACGCACGCCACGACAAUCGGUGGUUGCGAAACCUCGGUUGCCCGUCGUGUGCGGUCGUCGCGCAUCGAGGGCUCGAAAAAAUUGUCGGGCUCCGGCUCGGCUUUCAACGCGACCCCAGGUCAGGCGGGGUUACCCGCUGAGUUUAAGCAUAUCAAUAAGCGGAGGA